rnacentral:lncRNA from 1 species
GUGAGGCGCCCGCCUCAGACCAUGGCUGCUUCCCACAAUGCCCUCGAAGCGAAAGUUUGCAGACUCCUCCCCGCGCCCCUCCCCUCCCGCUCCUCCCAUUCCUCCUCCUUCCUCCCCCUUCUUCCUCCCUCUCUUCUCUCCUCCUCUUCUUUCUCUUUCCCCCUCUCUUCUUCUUCUCUCCCCGUCUCUCACUCCUCCCCCUCGCCCCGGCCCGCCCCCAGCGCCGCGCCGCUCCACGCCACGCUGGCGGCUCCAGGUGCGAAUGCACCUGCUCUCCUCUGCACCUGCGCCUCGUCUGCGCGCGGCCGGUGGCCGGCAGCCCUGCGCCGGGAGCGCCAGGGAGCUGCUUUCCGGCUGCCGCCGCGCGAACGUGUCAUUCAUUCAUUCCACAAACUUUCAGCAGACCUGGCAGAGAUUUCCCGAAACACUUGCGAUCUGUACUCUGUAGACACAGAAGAGGAGAGAGAAAGAGAUUUAGUUUUUAAAACAAAAAUUGGACUCCUACCAUAUGGACUGUUUCAUAUUCUACUGUUUUAUUUUUUUCAUAACAUGUUAUUGAACAAAUAUUAAUUGAGCAUCUAGUCUGUGCCAAGAACUGUGCUGGCUACUGGGCAUAGAACAGUGAAAAAGGAGACAUGGUCCCUCUCAAGCUCAGCAGCUGCAUUUAUUCCAGCCAAACCUUUGAGCGUUUGUAAGUUUCUGAAGCGGGUUCCCUGACCUGCAUGCAGCGUUCACACCUCCUCCUCCAGCCUGAGGUCUGGAGUCCCCACCCUGGCCACAGGUCAGAGUCUCACUGAGGAGAAGGGCCAACCCAUCACCAAUGAGAAAAGUCCUGCUGAGGCCGUGGGAAGCCACGAGAACUCCGGCCCGUCUCUCUAGAGCCAGUGGACCUCAAAUUUUAGCUGCACGGAGGGAACAUGCUGAAGUGAGAAGUCCUAAAAGCUGUGAUGCCCCAGAAGCAAUGAGCGCACCUAAAACUCCGAUCUUGUUUCUACUUACCACGAAAAGAACCAAAGCCUUUUGAAGAAAUGGCAGAUACCAGGGCUGACAUGGGGAAAGUGCCAGAAAAGCCCAGAAAGUCUUGUGCCAGAAAAUAAGGAAGUGUUCAAAGAAUGAUAGCAACAUGUCAAGAGGACAAGAGCCUGCUUGCAGGGGCUCCCGCUGGAAAAAUCUGAAAUAAUUUGAACAAAAAAAUAAAUAUUGAUGGUAAAGGAGUAUAACCUAUUGAUUAAAGUAAGAGUUCAUGAGUCUACAUGGAUUGAUUUCUAAAUAAAGAAACAAGCAAACGGAUGAGGGAACAGAAAAGCUCUCCUUACAGUAGAAAGCAGUAAACAAUGUAGAAGGAAUGCUGGAAUCAGAAAAUAAUGAAGUGAUCCUGGUGAAUACCAAGAAAAUCAUUAAGCAAGAAUCACCAAUGGAUGCUAAAACUAGUGGGUGAAAAUCUGAAGAGUAAUAGAGUAUUUAUAGGGUAUUCAUGACAGUUGGUAAAAUAUUAACAGCUGGAGAAUUGGGGAGGGUACAUAGGAAUUUUGUACUAUCCUUGCGACUUUUUGUAAGUCU